rnacentral:tRNA from 1 species
GUGUAUAUAUUAUAAAGAAGAUAUAUUAGAUUUAGGUUCUAAAGAUAGAAAAUACAUU